GGAUCUUGAUGAACAACUUAUUCGUUUGAAAAAGGCACUGAGGAAAAAAGAAUAAUUUCUGGUCAAUGCAUAAGUGACCUAUGGCCAACAAAUGCCUGAACUUGGACUUGAUCAUGGAAGAAAACUGCAUAUGAUAUCCUCCACUUCAGCCUCAAGAAAUCAAAUGUGCAUUUGGCUUUUUCUGAUAAUUGUUACAACUUGAUGGUUUAGCUGUCAAAGGAGCAUUUUCUUAAAACAGAAUGAAGUUGUUGCAACCUGUUCAAAAUUCCAAAUAAAUCUUAUGGCAUAAAAUAAUUUGAGUUUUUAAUGGGAAUUGUGUUUCUCAGAAGCAACUGAAUCAAUAACUUUUACUACAGGUUA